AGCAGAUCAGCUCACAGAGCAACAAAUGUGGCCCACACCCAUUCAAGGGAGAGAGAGAGAAAAAAAAACACAUUGCGCAUAGGUCUCCAACUUAACACUCCUGUCAACUUAACAUCAUAACAGUUGCACAAAUUCAUCACGGAAAGGGAGUUGAAAGAAAACGUAUUGCUUGACUUGGACUUGUAUUGACUGUUCAUCAUGGAGGCACCAACAACAGCAGGUACAAUAAGCCACUCGGCAUCGGAAGAGGCCUUCAGCCACAUGGUCAGUCACAUCAUAGAACUCUUCACACAGCCCUCCGUAGCUGAAGAUCUGACAACAACUUCUGCACAUAUGACUGAAACAAUCUCAGACACUUCUGUGGGAGCUCUAACAACAACUUUUCUACAGAAGACUGAAACAAUUCCAGAUGCUUUUGUUGGAGUUCUGAGAACAACUUCUGCACAAAUGAUUGAAACAAUCUCAGACACUUCUGUGGGAGUUCUGACAACAACUUCUGCACAUAUGACUGAAACAACCUCAGAUGCUUUUUUAGUGGGAGCCGCCAUCGUAAAAGGUGUAUCCUUUGAAGUCCUUUUCGUAGGAGUCAUUCUUGUGGUGGUACUGGUGGUGGUACUGGUACUGGUGCUGGUACUGUGUCACAACGGCAAGCAUAAGGGCACUUACCACACCAACGAGGCCGAGUGUGGUGAUUCUGAUUCUGUCGACACGUAUGGUGUUGCCUCUCAAAGCGAACUUGAGAUUUUGAAUGAGGAAGAAUAGAAAGAAGUACACUUCAUUUGAAACAGGACUUUUUCCGAUUCUAAACCGGGGCCAGUUGUCAACUCAAGAUGCCAAAUAUUUUCUACGGAAUUGGUAAUGCCUAUGAUGGUCAUCUAAUUUCAAGGCAACAUUUAUAUGGGGCAUACAACCAUCUCAGCUCUACAGAUUUUGCCACGAAGAGACAGAAUCGUUAGAUCACUUAUUUUUGUAUUGCCCAUAUAUACACUAUAUAUACAAAAUUAUGUGGACACCCAUUAGUGGAUUUGGCUAUUUCAGCCACAUUACAGCCUUAUUUCCCUCAUCAAUCAAUAUAAAGAAACACUUUAAUAAACAAUUAAUAUUCAUUACAUGUGACUAACUUCAAGCUUACAAUUAGUACAGUAGUUAAACCAAUAUCAGAUUGUUGAGGUUUCGAAAAGAUGUAAAAACUAGAGAAAUUUUACAAUCCUUUUUGUCUUCCUUUUAAAAAAAAUGUUUAUACUCAAAAGAUAGUACCUUGUUUGAAUUUCUAUUAUGAGGGUGUUGAGCGAGCUUAAUGCAUAAUAAUGUAUAGCAUUGCUGAAUGUAAUAUCUGUUUUCAAUUUUUUUCUAAAUUGACGUCCAGUAGUAAUCUGAGCUUGUAAAAUGAAAUCAAGGCACAGGCAUCUUUCCUAACGCCAAACUGGAUGUUUUGGUUUUUUUGGCCUGAAGGUACCAAUAACUGAGUAAAGGAAAUGUUACGGCAAGGACCAUAAGAACACACAAAAAUACUUUCAUGAAACUUGAGACAUUUCACCUAUGACAAUACUGGGAACAAAACAGUCAAAAAAAUGUAAAUUCCCCUUCUUCUAAUGCAAGUCUCUGUAACUAAUAUAUUACCAUGUGAUUAAAGAGAAGCGACCUUGUUUUGCCUGAUGAAAACAGUGUCUAAUUAGCAGUAAAACACUUGUUCCAGAGAGGAAGGACUUUUUGUAUCAACAAGGCAACAACAGGGAAGUUUCAAAAGGAAACUGAAGACAGCCGAAUCACACUGCCCCAGCUAGGUGGAAAGGCUUCCAUGUAGUUCAGAGAGGGCAUAUCAACAGGAACGGCCUGAUAAAUGCUCAAAGUAUUAACAUCCCAAAAUACUGUAUCUGUGACUAAAUGUGGUCCAGUUUCUGUUGACGAUAAUGCAUGUCUGUUGUUCUAUCAUGUGAAAGUCCCAUUCGAUUAGCGUUGCGUAUGUAUCAAGCUACACAUUUGAUAAAUUUGCACAGUCAUGGACUAAAUUGUUUUUUUUGUUUUUUCAAAUGAAGAGUUUACUUGUAUACCCAGUCGAAAAAUCGGAUUAUUCAACACAACAUCUGGGUUCAGAAAACCAAGAUAUAGGAGCAAAAGUCUGCACUUCAAUAGUAUGUGUUAAUGAGAUUUAGAAGCU
ensembl:lncRNA